CGGGUUGUCAUGCCAAUGGCACUGCCCGGUAGCUAAAUGCGGAAGAGAUAAGUGCUGAAAGCAUCUAAGCACGAAACUUGCCCCGAGAUGAGUUCUCCCUGAGACUUAGAGUCUCCUGAAGGAACGUUGAAGACGACGACGUUGAUAGGCCGGGUGUGUAAGCGCAGCGAUGCGUUGAGCUAACCGGUACUAAUGAACCGUGAGGCUUAC
rnacentral:rRNA from 1 species